UAACGGCGAGUGAAGCGGCAACAGCUCAAAUUUGAAAUCUGGCUUCGGCCCGAGUUGUAAUUUGCAGAGGAUGCUUCUGGCGCGGUGCCUUCCGAGUUCCCUGGAACGGGACGCCACAGAGGGUGAGAGCCCCGUAUGGUCGGACACCAAGCCUGUGUGAAGCUCCUUCGACGAGUCGAGUAGUUUGGGAAUGCUGCUCUAAAUGGGAGGUAAAUCUCUUCUAAAGCUAAAUACCGGCCAGAGACCGAUAGCGCACAAGUAGAGUGAUCGAAAGAUGAAAAGCACCUUGAAAAGGGGGUUAAAUAGUACGUGAAAUUGUUGAAAGGGAAGCACUUGUGACCAGACUUGGGCCGGGCGGCUCAUCAGGGGUUCUCCCCUGUGCACUCCGCCCGGCACAGGCCAGCAUCGGUUUUCGCGGGGGGAUAAGACCGCCGGGAACGUAGCACCCUCCGGGGUGUGUUAUAGCCCGGCGGACGAUACCCUCGCGGGGACCGAGGUUCGCGCUCCGCAAGGAUGCUGGCGUAAUGGUCACCAGUGACCCGUCUUGA
rnacentral:sRNA from 1 species